GCAUCGGGAGAGACCGCGCUUGCGGCGCCGAAGGGGCUUGGCGAGAAACUCUCAGGCAAAAGUACCGAUGCC
rnacentral:ncRNA from 1 species